rnacentral:rRNA from 1 species
UACGGGAGGGCAGCAGUGGGGAAUAUUGCACAAUGGGCGCAAGCCUGAUGCAGCCAUGCCGCGUGUAUGAAGAAGGCCUUCGGGUUGUAAAGUACUUUCAGUCGUGAGGAAGGUGUUAAGGUUAAUAACCUUAGCAAUUGACGUUAGCGACAGAAGAAGCACCGGCUAACUCCGUGCCAGCAGCCGCGGUAAUACGGAGGGUGCGAGCGUUAAUCGGAAUUACUGGGCGUAAAGGGCACGCAGGCGGUUAAUUAAGUUGGAUGUGAAAUCCCCGGGCUUAACCUGGGAAUGGCAUUCAAGACUGGUUAGCUAGAGUCUUGUAGAGGGGGUAGAAUUCCAUGUGUAGCGGUGAAAUGCGUAGAGAUGUGGAGGAAUACCGGUGGCGAAGGCGGCCCCUGGGACAAAGACUGACGCUCAUGUGCGAAAGCGUGGGGAGCAAACAGGAUUAGAUACC